CAUAGGGUCACUGUAAACAUGGGAACAAGUAGUGCUAUGGGCCUCGGUCUACUCAAGCUUUCACAAAAAGAGGAACCAAUUUCCAACAACACCAGAAAGAGCUGCAGGUGCCUGUACAUGGAUGCAUCUCAAGAAAGGUUGGAACAGUUUCUUUGAGAUAAGAGAUAGAUUCUUCUCUCCACUCUGAACAGUUAGACCCAAGCCUAGAGGGAGAGACAGAUAAUGAACAGACUGAUGCCUAGAAGGGGCAGGAAAGGAAUCAUUGUGUGGGGUGACUACCAGGUGCAUAGUCCUUUAGAACUGCUUAUAUUCCCUCUGAAGCUGAUGGCAACACUCCCAUGAUUUCAACUGUAGCAGGCCCACAGUUUUUGCCAGACCAUUCCAGUCCCAUGCAAUGGAAUCCUUGCAUUUACUGCAGCCUGACUGAAGAUUAUACAAACAUAUUGGCCAUGUUUGGGACUCUCAGCUCACUUACAAUAGUUUUCACCAGUGCAGCUCUGUGGAAUUUAGCAGUCCCUGGUACUUUUGAGAACCGUGUAAAGUAGAGGUAAUGAAGAUUAGAUAACUUAUUUUAAUCCAGGCUGUUCUUGUCUGAACUAAGGAAAAAUUCCUAUUCAGCACCAUAAUAUGUUAAACCUUUUAGAUAACAAGAGGCAUUUUACUAGUAUAAGCAAAUUCUCUUACAAGG